rnacentral:rRNA from 1 species
GACGUAGGGUGCGAGCGUUGUCCGGAAUUACUGGGCGUAAAGAGCUCGUAGGUGGUUUGUCGCGUUGUUCGUGAAAACUCACAGCUUAACUGUGGGCGUGCGGGCGAUACGGGCAGACUGGAGUACUGCAGGGGAGACUGGAAUUCCUGGUGUAGCGGUGAAAUGCGCAGAUAUCAGGAGGAACACCGGUGGCGAAGGCGGGUCUCUGGGCAGUAACUGACGCUGAGGAGCGAAAGCGUGGGGAGCGAACAGG